AAAAUUGCUGUAGAAUAUGAUAAAGAUUAAUAGAGGCUUUGGGAAAGGCCUGUUUCCUGGCACUAAAAGUAGCCAGUCUUGGCGUGAACAGCCCUUGACAAUUCCCAGCAUAUGGUAAGAGAAGACGCUUCUGCCCACCCAUCAGGCAUGGAAAGGAGCAAUAAUACACGCAACACUGAACAGGACCAUGCCCUCUUCUAAAUGACAUUAUGGACUUCCCGACACUUGAAAAUGGUGAGGACUCUGACACAUCCAGAUUUUGUAAGUUGCAUAGAAUGAAUUUCACAGGACGCAUCCAAUUCAUGGACUCUUACAAGUUUGUAUCAACACCUACAGCUCUGACCUCUGGGAAUGAAGAAGAUACUUAACAAUAGUUUUGAUGGACUAGAAAAUCAACAGAGAUAAUAUCCAUAUUCGUAUUGGUAGCCCCAUUGUAUUUAGAUAGUGUGAGCCAGCAGUGUUCACUUCCACCCAAUUCAGGGACUUCCUCUAGCAAGGUAUUGCAGUUUGGAAGUGGGAACAGAAGAGACUGUGCAAUCUUCACAGGAGAACAUUGUCAUGACAAAGAGGACAAACAAGUUCAAGGCAAAAAACUAAACCAUAACCUUGGGAUUCAAGGAAAAAGUCAUCAAGCACAGAGGGGGAAUAAAUGAAAGAAUAUAUCUCAGAGUUUUGGGAAGCCAUAAGGAUACUUAACA
rnacentral:lncRNA from 1 species